rnacentral:rRNA from 1 species
UACGAAGGGGGCUAGCGUUGUUCGGAUUUACUGGGCGUAAAGCGUGCGCAGGCGGUCUCGCAAGUCCGAUGUGAAAUCCCCGGGCUCAACCUGGGAACUGCGUUGGAAACUACGAGGCUGGAGUACGGCAGAGGGGGGUGGAAUUCCACGUGUAGCAGUGAAAUGCGUAGAUAUGUGGAGGAACACCGAUGGCGAAGGCAGCCCCCUGGGCUAGUACUGACGCUCAUGCACGAAAGCGUGGGGAGCAAACAGG